rnacentral:rRNA from 1 species
UACGUAGGGUGCAAGCGUUGUCCGGAAUUAUUGGGCGUAAAGAGCUCGUAGGCGGUUUGUCGCGUCGAAUGUGAAAACCCGGGGCUCAACCCCGGGCCUGCAUUCGAUACGGGCAGACUAGAGUUCGGUAGGGGAGUCUGGAAUUCCUGGUGUAGCGGUGAAAUGCGCAGAUAUCAGGAGGAACACCUAUGGCGAAGGCAGCUCUCUGGUACGGUACUGACGCUGAGACGCGAAAGCGUGGGGAGCGAACAGG